rnacentral:rRNA from 1 species
GACGAACGCUGGCGGCGUGCUUAACACAUGCAAGUCGAGCGGAAAGGCCCUUUCGGGGGUACUCGAGCGGCGAACGGGUGAGUAACACGUGAGUAAUCUGCCCCUGGCUUUGGGAUAGCCACCGGAAACGGUGAUUAAUACCGGAUACGACCACUUCUCGCAUGGGAUGGUGGUGGAAAGUUUUUCGGCCAGGGAUGUUGCUCGCGGCCUAUCAGCUUGAUGGUGAGGUAAUGGCUCACCAUGGCUUCGACGGGUAGCCGGCCUGAGAGGGUGACCGGUCACACUGGGACUGAAGCACGGCCAAGACUCCUACGGGAGGCAGCAGUGGGGAAUAUUGGACAAUGGGCGGAAGCCUGAUCCAGCAACGCCGCGUGAGGGAUGACGGCCUUCGGGUUGUAAACCUCUUUCAGCAGGGACGAAGCGCAAGUGACGGUACCUGCAGAAGAAGCACCGGCCAACUACGUGCCAGCAGCCGCCGUAA